CAGCAAGCAGUCUUCACUCACUUCAUCAAACCUUUCCUGUCAAGAAAUGACUCAACAGAUCCUGGCUGUGUCUCAUCUAUCACGGGGAGCCAAGAGUGGCUAAAGGCAAACCUUGGCAAGUUCUCUGAUUAUGCAACUCUGCAGGACUUGCAAGCCUUCAAUCCGAAUUUAUCCACUGCUGAAUUGUUGUCAGUCCUCAGUCCUUCUCAGGUGGCACAGCUGCUACUGAGCUCUAGAGCCUCCAAUAACACAGAUUUGAUUGAUCGUGUGUUUGAGCGACUGGAAGAGGGCAACGCUCUGGAAAAUGUGGAUGAAUUCCUCACACAACUGAAAGCCAGU